GAGCGGUAGCACAGAGAGCUUGCUCUCGGGUGACGAGCGGCGGACGGGUGAGUAAUGUCUGGGAAACUGCCUGAUGGAGGGGGAUAACUACUGGAAACGGUAGCUAAUACCGCAUAACGUCGCAAGACCAAAGUGGGGGACCUUCGGGCCUCAUGCCAUCAGAUGUGCCCAGAUGGGAUUAGCUAGUAGGUGGGGUAACGGCUCACCUAGGCGACGAUCCCUAGCUGGUCUGAGAGGAUGACCAGCCACACUGGAACUGAGACACGGUCCAGACUCCUACGGGAGGCAGCAGUGGGGAAUAUUGCACAAUGGGCGCAAGCCUGAUGCAGCCAUGCCGCGUGUGUGAAGAAGGCCUUCGGGUUGUAAAGCACUUUCAGCGGGGAGGAAGGCGUUAAGGUUAAUAACCUUGUCGAUUGACGUUACCCGCAGAAGAAGCACCGGCUAACUCCGUGCCAGCAGCCGCGGUAAUACGGAGGGUGCAAGCGUUAAUCGGAAUUACUGGGCGUAAAGCGCACGCAGGCGGUCUGUCAAGUCGGAUGUGAAAUCCCCGGGCUCAACCUGGGAACUGCAUUUGAAACUGGCAGGCUAGAGUCUUGUAGAGGGGGGUAGAAUUUCAGGUGUAGCGGUGAAAUGCGUAGAGAUCUGGAGGAAUACCGGUGGCGAAGGCGGCCCCCUGGACAAAGACUGACGCUCAGGUGCGAAAGCGUGGGGAGCAAACAGGAUUAGAUACCCUGGUAGUCCACGCCGUAAACGAUGUCGAUUUGGAGGUUGUGCCCUUGAGGCGUGGCUUCCGGAGCUAACGCGUUAAAUCGACCGCCUGGGGAGUACGGCCGCAAGGUUAAAACUCAAAUGAAUUGACGGGGGCCCGCACAAGCGGUGGAGCAUGUGGUUUAAUUUGAUGCAACGCGAAGAACCUUACCUGGUCUUGACAUCCACAGAACUUUCCAGAGAUGGAUUGGUGCCUUCGGGAACUGUGAGACAGGUGCUGCAUGGCUGUCGUCAGCUCGUGUUGUGAAAUGUUGGGUUAAGUCCCGCAACGAGCGCAACCCUUAUCCUUUGUUGCCAGCGGUCCGGCCGGGAACUCAAAGGAGACUGCCAGUGAUAAACUGGAGGAAGGUGGGGAUGACGUCAAGUCAUCAUGGCCCUUACGACCAGGGCUACACACGUGCUACAAUGGCAUAUACAAAGAGAAGCGACCUCGCGAGAGCAAGCGGACCUCAUAAAGUAUGUCGUAGUCCGGAUUGGAGUCUGCAACUCGACUCCAUGAAGUCGGAAUCGCUAGUAAUCGUAGAUCAGAAUGCUACGGUGAAUACGUUCCCGGGCCUUGUACACACCGCCCGUCACACCAUGGGAGUGGGUUGCAAAAGAAGUAGGUAGCUUAACCUUCGGGAG
rnacentral:rRNA from 1 species